CUACAUAGCAUGCACAUUUUUUUAGAAUCUAAUAGUGCUUUACGUUAUUAAAGAUAUUAGCCUACUUUUCUCAAGCCAAAUAAGAAUAUGAUUUGAAUAUUUCUUAUGGGUACAUCCGUCGGGGGCCAUGUCUUUGUAACAUGUUAUAAGCCUAUGUAAGCCUUGAAUUUUUGAAUAUUUUUUUUAUUAAGUAUCAUUAGCCUGUUCAUAAACUAUGACUUACUAUAUGUUGAAUUUUUCUAUUAGAUUGGGAUUGAUAUGAGACAUUUCCCCGAGUUCACAUCAGACAUCGAGUUCACACAGUUAUUAGUCACAGAGCAAAGUGUAUUUUGUUUACCUGCCUCUUGUUUUCAAUACCCAAAUUACUUUCGUGUGGUGCUGACAAUACCAACAGAGAAAGUCCAAGAAGCCUGUGAUAGAAUCAAAGAAUUUUGUGCUCAACAUUACCACUUUCCAGCUGAUCCUUUUGUACAAAGUGUUAAAGGGCAUAAGAAUGAGCAAAUAAAUAACACAUCAUAUGUCAAUGGACUCUGCCCAAAUGGGCAUUAUGAAAAUGGUAAAUCAAAUGGUAUUGAAGUAAAUGGUCUUCAUGAUGCAGAAAAAUAGGUUGAUGCAAUUCUGUUAUUGUUGAAUGUUUAUAGUUGUCAAAAUAUUUUGUUCCUUUAUGUGUUAUUUAAACAUUCCAAUUGUUGUCAACUACUUUUCAUUUUUUGAAAGUGAACUUUAAAAUAUACAUGCAAACUUUAUGUUUGUAUACCUACACCAUGUUUUAAACUGGAUUUUAUAUUACAUGCACCAUGUUAGAAACACGAUUCCAUUAGUAGUGAUACUACUGUGUAGUGACCAGGUGCAAUAGCUUCGAAAUGUUUCAUCAAAACCAUGCACUUUUGUGUGUUUAAACCGUAAGUGUAAUUAUAGAAAGCUUAUAAACGUUAAAAAAAAA
rnacentral:sRNA from 1 species